rnacentral:lncRNA from 1 species
CAAAUCAAUGGGCAGUUUCCUUUCUUCGUUCUCUGGUGGUGUCGGUGGCGAUGAGACGUCGUACUCGGAGGGGCCUUCUAGUGUGCUGUCAUUCCACUCGUCGAACGUUGGCAGCUCCAGUUCAACGAGGUCAAAGAAUCCAACCAGCUCGUAAAUCCCUAGAUCACAAGCUUUCCCCAAUUUUAUUUUUCUGUGUGUUGUAUUUGAAUUUAAAUCUUCUCUGUUGUACUUGAAGCUCGAAAGCAAGUGUCUCUGUCGGUUCUUGAAGCUCCUCUUUAUCUUCGAAACCCCUUCAAUAUUUGUUCUCACACCGUUGGGACUCCACCUCGGAAGCUGCGACAGCGUUAUACAGCUGGUAUUACCAAGGGUAAAAAAGCCAUUUGUGUUCAAUUCAUCGCAAAUCUCCUCAACACAACGGGUGAUACAAAAAGUAGGUACCCCGCAAAUCUUCUCAAUUCGGUCGUCGCA